rnacentral:rRNA from 1 species
AGAACGAACGCUGGCGGCAUGCCUAAUACAUGCAAGUCGAACGAACUCUUCGGAGUUAGUGGCGCACGGGUGCGUAACGCGUGGGAAUCUGCCCCUUGGUUCGGAAUAACAGUUGGAAACGACUGCUAAUACCGGAUGAUGACGAAAGUCCAAAGAUUUAUCGCCAAGGGAUGAGCCCGCGUAGGAUUAGCUAGUUGGUGAGGUAAAGGCUCACCAAGGCAACGAUCCUUAGCUGGUCUGAGAGGAUGAUCAGCCACACUGGGACUGAGACACGGCCCAGACUCCUACGGGAGGCAGCAGUAGGGAAUAUUGGACAACGGGCGAAAGCCUGAUCCAGCAAUGCCGCGUGAGUGAUGAAGCCUA